GUCACACCGCCAGCCGAUGGGGGCACUACAUCUGCCUGAUUCUAGAGCCCUUUCUGCUCCCUCUGUGCAGCCCCUGAAGGGCACCAAUCAAUUCUUAUCCAUCACGACUCAGGAUCUUUUCUAAAACAACCUCUCCUGACUUUCGGCAAGAACAGCAGGAGAGACUUAAUUGAAAGAAAGGGUAUUUUGCAGGAAGUAAAGAAAUUGUGAUUGUUUUAUAGUAACUGCUGCUGUGACACGAAGUGCCUUUAGCAAACAUCAAACGUGGUUAAUGCCUUCACCAAGGGGACAGCUGCCUAUGGAAUAACAGCCCAGCCAGGUGGGAUCGCCAGCAACAGCCUUGGCCUCAUGAUUGAGACCUUUGAACAUCAGCUAUAACCCGGCCCAGAUUGGCUUCUCACUUUGAAAGAUUGCCCAAGCAGGUGGCACAGGACAGAGACACCUUGGCGAUGUAGUGCAAACAACUUCCACCGUAAUCCGACAUCCUCCAGUAACACUCGUCAC